rnacentral:rRNA from 1 species
GCCUGUUUAUCAAAAACAUGGCUCUUUGUGUAACACAAAUAAAGAGUCGGACCUGCCCAGUGAUAAUUUUUAAACGGCCGCGGUACCCUGACCGUGCAAAGGUAGCAUAAUCAUUUGCCUUGUAAUUUAAGGCUAGUAUGAAAGGUUUGACAAGAAUAUAACUGUCUCCUUUUGGUUUAAUAGAAUUUUACUUAUAGGUGAAGAGACUUAUAUUAGAUUAAUAGACAAGAAGACCCUAUCGAGCUUUAAAGUAAUUAAUUGAAUUAAAUGAAAUAAACACAUAAAAUCAAAUCUAUUAAAAAUUUUGGUUGGGGCGACUAAGGAACAAACAAAGCUUCCUGUUCAACUUAAACUUUCAAGUAAUGAUCCAGGAAAUUCUGAUUAAAGAAAUUAGUUACCGUAGGGAUAACAGCAUUAUCUUUUUUGAGAGCUCUUAUCGAAAAAAAGGUUUGUGACCUCGAUGUUGGACCAGAAUACCCCAAAGAUGUAGCAGUCUUUAAAGGUUGGUCUGUUCGACCAUUAAAAUUCUACGUGAUCUGAGUUCA